GUCCAGGGUGGCCGGCGCCGAAUCCGGACUUAAAAUAGACACAGGUACACCUGCCUGGCCCAGGCACUCUCCGUGUGGCAGAAAGAUUUUCCACCUCUGAGGUCCUCUGGGGAUGAAGGCUUUUUAAGGGCACAUCAGUGGCCACAGCACCCUCCAUGGGCACCAGUCCACGUCCCACAGUUUGGGAACCUGCUCCACAAAACAGCCACUCGGUAGCUGGGAAGCAGCUGCGAAUGACAGUUUUGCUCUGGAGCACAGGAAGCCACCUUUUAACCCGCCUGCUGUUGUUUGUCUCUCGAAAAACGUGACAAAGGAACAGAUGUAAGC